AUUGAACGCUGGCGGCAGGCCUAACACAUGCAAGUCGAGCGGAUGAAGGGAGCUUGCUCCUGGAUUCAGCGGCGAACGGGUGAGUAAUGCCUAGGAAUCUGCCUGGUCGUGGGGGAUAACGUCCGGAAACGGGCGCUAAUACCGCAUACGUCCUGAGGGAGAAAGUGGGGGAUCUUCGGACCUCACGCUAUCAGAUGAGCCUAGGUCGGAUUAGCUAGUUGGUGGGGUAAAGGCCUACCAAGGCGACGAUCCGUAACUGGUCUGAGAGGAUGAUCAGUCACACUGGAACUGAGACACGGUCCAGACUCCUACGGGAGGCAGCAGUGGGGAAUAUUGGACAAUGGGCGAAAGCCUGAUCCAGCCAUGCCGCGUGUGUGAAGAAGGUCUUCGGAUUGUAAAGCACUUUAAGUUGGGAGGAAGGGCAGUAAGUUAAUACCUGGCUGUUUUGACGUUACCAACAGAAUAAGCACCGGCUAACUUCGUG
rnacentral:rRNA from 1 species